rnacentral:rRNA from 1 species
GGAUAACCUGCCCUUAGGUCUGGCAUAACCCCGGGAAACUGGGGAUAAUUCCGGAUAGAUCAUCGAUGCUGGAAUGCGCUUUGAUCCAAAGCUAUUGUGCCUAAGGAUGGGUCUGCGGUCUAUCAGGCCGUAGUGGGUGUAAUGUACCUACUAGCCUACGACGGAUACGGGUUGUGGGAGCAAGAGCCCGGAGAUGGAUUCUGAGACAUGAAUCCAGGCCCUACGGGGCGCAGCAGGCGCGAAAACUUUACAAUGCGGGGAACCGCGAUAAGGGGACACCGAGUGCCAGCAUCCUAUGUUGGCUGUCCAUAUGUCUAAAUCACAUGUGUUAGCAAGGGCCGGGCAAGACCGGUGCCAGCCGCCGCGGUAACACCGGCGGCCCGAGUGGUGGCCACUAUUAUUGGGUCUAAAGGGUCCGUAGCCGGUUUGGUCAGUCUUCCGGGAAAUCUGACGGCUCAACCGUUAGGCUUUCGGGGGAUACUACCAGGCUUGGGACCGGGAGAGGUAAGAGGUACUACGGGGGUAGGAGUGAAAUCUUGUAAUCCCUGUGGGACCACCAGUGGCGAAGGCGUCUCACCAGAACGGACCUGACGGCAAGGGACGAAAGCUAGGGGCACGAACCGGAUUAGAUACCCGGGUAGUCCUAGCCGUAAACGAUACUCGCUAGGUGUCGGCCACGGUGCGACCGUUGUCGGUGCCGUAGGGAAGCCGUGAAGCGAGCCACCUGGGAAGUACGGCCGCAAGGCUGAAACUUAA